rnacentral:misc_RNA from 1 species
GUAGGUGAACCUGCGGAAGGAUCAUUAACACGUAUCCAAACGUUAAACAUCCGUGCACCUUACACCACGACCACCCCGGAGGACAUGGGCCUGGUAACUCACCCUUACACAGAUUGACUCAGCUCCCCUCUUUCGGCCCUGGUUGUUCUAAUUGUUUCGGUAAUUUCACCACUUUUGUCAAGACACAAGUCAACUUCGCAUGCAAAAUGGGAACGAUCAUAAGUGUGAAGCCUGGUAACUCACUCCGAAA